GCCGACUUCGGUCGGUGGAGAGUGGCGCACGGGUGCGUAACACGUAGCUCACCUGCCCUCAAGACGGGAAUAACGGUUGGAAACAGCCGCUAAUACCCGAUAAGCUCCCGCGCUGUAGAGGCGUGCGAGAAAAGGUUACGGCGCAUGAGGAUGGGGCUGCGGUCCAUCAGCUAGAUGGUGAGGUAACGGCUCACCAUGGCAACGACGGAUAGGGGACCUGAGAGGGUGACCCCCCACACUGGCACUGAGACACGGGCCAGACUCCUACGGGAGGCAGCAGUGAGGAAUAUUGCACAAUGGGCGCAAGCCUGAUGCAGCGACGCCGCGUGGGCGACGAAGGUCUUCGGAUCGUAAAGCCCUUUUCUGCGCGACGAGAACGGACGGUAGCGCAGGAAUAAGUCUCGGCUAACUACGUGCCAGCAGCCGCGGUAAAACGUAGGAGGCGAGCGUUAUCCGGAGUUACUGGGCGUAAAGCGCGUGUAGGCGGCCUAGAGGGUCUGAUGUGAAAGCUCCCAGGCUAAACCGGGAGAGGUCAUUGGAAACCGUUAGGCUAGAGGGUGAUAGAGGGGCGUGGAAUUCCGGGUGUAGUGGUGAAAUGCGUAGAGAUCCGGAGGAACACCAGUGGCGAAGGCGGCGCCCUGGGUCACACCUGACGCUGAGACGCGACAGCAUGGGGAGCGAACGGGAUUAGAAACCCCGGUAGUCCAUGCCGUAAACGAUGCACACUGGGUGUGCGGAUCGGGAAACCGGUUUGCGUGCCGAAGUUAACACGGUAAGUGUGCCGCCUGGGGAGUACGGUCGCAAGGCUAAAACUCAAAGGAAUUGACGGGGGCCCGCACAAGCAGCGGAGCGUGUGGUUUAUUCGAAGCUACGCGAAGAACCUUACUCAGGCUUGACAUCCUCUGGACGACGUGGAAACAACG
rnacentral:rRNA from 1 species